rnacentral:misc_RNA from 1 species
CCAAACUUGGUCAUUUAGAGGAAGUAAAAGUCGUAACAAGGUCUCCGUUGGUGAACCAGCGGAGGGAUCAUUACAGAGUCGCCUGACUCCCAAACCACUGUGAACCUACCUUCUUACCUGUGCUCCGGCGGGUCGCCCCGCGGGGGGGUGCCUGCCGAAAUGGCACUCGCCGGAGCCAACCUCCAAAAGUCUCUACACGCAAGGUAUUCUGAGUGUAAACAUAAAAAGAAUCACAACUUUCAACAAUGGAUCUCUUGGUUCCGGCAUCGAUGAAGAACGCAGC